rnacentral:rRNA from 1 species
CGCAUCCUUUGCUGAGGAUACGGUUAACGGAGCGAAAGCGACGUUCAACCUCAAAAGAAGCAGAGGGGGCUUAGUGGUGGGGUGACUGCGUACCUUUUGUAUAAUGGGUCAGCGACUUAUAUUCUGUAGCAAGGUUAACCGAAUAGGGGAGCCGGAGGGAAACCGAGUCUUAAUUGGGCGUUAAGUUGCAGGGUAUAGACCCGAAACCCGGUGAUCUAGCCAUGGGCAGGUUGAAGGUUGGGUAACACUAACUGGAGGACCGAACCGACUAAUGUUGAAAAAUUAGCGGAUGACCUGUGGCUGGGGGUGAAAGGCCAAUCAAACCGGGAGAUAGCUGGUUCUCCCCGAAAGCUAUUUAGGUAGCGCCUCGUGAAUUCAUCUCCGGGGGUAGAGCACUGUUUCGGCUAGGGGGCCAUCCCGGCUUACCAACCCGAUGCAAACUGCGAAUACCGGAGAAUGUUAUCACGGGAGACACACGGCGGGUGCUAACGUCCGUCGUGAAGAGGGAAACAACCCAGACCGCCAGCUAAGGUCCCAAAGUCAUGGUUAAGUGGGAAACGAUGUGGGAAGGCCCAGACAGCCAGGAUGUUGGCUUAGAAGCAGCCAUCAUUUAAAGAAAGCGUAAUAGCUCACUGGUCGAGUCGGCCUGCGCGGAAGAUGUAACGGGGCUAAACCAUG